rnacentral:tRNA from 1 species
AAAGAGUUAGUCUAAUGAACAAAGACAGUUGAUUUCGGCUCAACAAAUCAUAGCCCAAUCCUAUGACUCUUUU